CCGCGAUCAGAGACGGGUUGUUUUGACUGAAAAAAAGCCCUCAAGGCAGUCUUUAAUGGGGCCGAAAGCACGCGCUUCCUGAGGGGAGUCCGGCCUCUCCCUCCCGGGAAGGCCCCGGCGGAGGCAGGCGCCAGGCAGGGCCCGAAGGCCGCGGAGGCGGUUCCUACUGAACGCCGGUUUUGUCCAACUAAGUGAGCAGAAGAGGAAGACGAGGCAAUUACAAAGACUUUAAAAUCACGGAAAACUUAUGCUCAUAAGACUGAACAGCAAUCCUACCAGGAUACAAGAUAAUUGGAGAAGACUCGUGCCUUUCACAAGGCAUCUUCUCUGUAUCAUGAGAGACAUAGCCAAAUGCCAGCACCAGCAUCUUACCGGAUUUUGUAAGCAAGUCUGCACAAAUCCAACCACGUCUAAUAGGAGUGUAAUUGAAUGUCAGAAUUUUACUGUGUAGAUCUCUAAAUGUGCUGUCUACCAUCUCUCCCCCGCCCCGAUUCCCAUAUCACUUGCAAUGCUAGAGAAACGAUUGCUUCUCACCCUUACUCUAACCCACUGUAAAAGUGUCUAUCAGUUUUAAUCCAGGCCUAAUUACACCACAAUGCCCUCAAAAUAGUUGUUCCCAAGAAAGAUUAUGGCUUUCCUUUGUAGCCCAGAUGUGACACAUUUUAAAAGAAGGGAAGUACAAAUACCACACUACCAUAUCAAAAGAGCCUGAGUUGCUUUGUCAGCAGGGAAGAAGAUCCAAGAGUUAUGGCUGCUCCUGGAAGACAGAAGCGCAAACACUGGCCUCGGAAACCGCUGUUUGCUCCAUCUGAUGUGCUGCCCUUGUCCCUGUGCCAGGCCAAACAGCGAAAGAGAUUCUGCCAAAUGGGACAACCUAAGAGCAUCAGGCUGGACUGAUGCUCAAACCGAGAGCCUUGGGGACGUGCAAACGAGAGUCUCGAGAGACAUUUAUGGUGAACCUCUUGCCAUUAGGACAUAAUUUAGCAGAUCUGAGCCACAAACUGGAAAAGGCAAUCUAGCAAACCGAAUCCAGUCAAGAAACAGGAUGCAGAGAGCAGCAAUUAGCAGUUAAUCAGAUUUGUUGCACCGGCUGCAAUUACUUUCCAUUCAUACAGUGAAGUUUACUCCGCUUUCCUCCCAAGGGCUGGAGAAUGAGACCCACGCUGCACGUGAAAUUCAGAAGUCAUUUCAGCUGGGUAGAGACUUUUGCCUCUCUACAAAGAUACCCUGCAAGCACGCACUCUUCCAAAGCUCACAGCCAUCACUUUUGGCUUCUAUUUCCAGUGCAAGUUUCCUAACUUAAAAAGGCCUAUCCUCUUCAAAUUUAUUACUCUGUCUAAUAAAAGGCAUGCUUAAGCAAUAGAAGUUCCCAUCACUAAGCAAAAGUAUCAGACAGUUCCAGCAAAUGUACUUAAACACUUUUUAACAAAAGCUUAGACUCUUCCAAUCUCUUCAGCUGCAAAACUUUACCAUGACUCAUUAAUUGGUCAUUUCCUGAUCAAAUAUCUGCAAAAUUGGCACAGGUUCAUUCACUGCAAGAGUCUAAUUGGAUUUAGAUAAUAAGUGAGAAAACUUGAAGGGAGGUGAAAAACAAAAGGGAGGAAAACUGACUGGAGAUCCCAAAGCCGCAGGCCAGUAGGUGCAGGUUCUAUGCACUGUGUGACACAAAGUCGCUCCUGCUUACUGUGCCCCAGUUUCCCCUAGUUUAUAGCUAAUGUACAAUACAGGAUUGAGUUUGGUUUUUAAAAAAAACAAACAAACACGCAGAGAGCUACAGACAUACAGAAAGAAAGAGAAUGUCAGCUAUGUUUCAGAAGGGCCUCAGUCAGGGUGCUAGCAAUUAGUUCCUUGGAGAACUUUCAAGAUUAUUCCAGGAAGACGCAAAUACUUAUUUCUCCCUGGAGUACAUAGAGGCAACUCUUAAUUAGGAAUUACUCCUGUUGGCACAAGUUAUUUUAAAAAAAAAAAAAAAAGGCGGCACUAUCUUCAAAAAGCCUGGUUUCCAUUAGAUCUUCUUUCCAGUCUCAGGCUGGGACAAAAAUUCACUUUUACACAAGCCAAAGA